GUAAUCCAGCAACAAAAUCAAACACUCAUGUUCCUAAAAAUGUAAAAUCGUCAAAACGUAAGACUGUUAAUUCACCUGACAGUCCACCAAACAAGAGAAGCAAAUACAGUUCAGGUAAAACUGACAGUGCGACUCAAAAUGAGUCUGAUGAUGACACGGAUCCUGUCAGUGAUCACAGCCGAUUAUCAGAUGAUCAAGACGAUGUUGGAUUUUCACCACCAUUUAAUGAGUCAGGCGAACAUCGAUCACCCCUCAAACCAAUGAAUACAACUCCAAAAUCAUCUUAGAAGAAUUCCCUUUCUCCGAUGCAUCCACCAAAGCGUGUAUUGUUACCACAGCCAAUUACAGGGCAGCAACAACUAGAAAAAAACAAUGAUAAUACCGAUAAUAAUGAAGUUAUUUUGGAGAACGACAAUGAUGACGAUGAUGAAGAUAAAAAAG